AGAAGCGGGCCGAGACGUUCAGGGUCGGGCGGCGGAGUCAUCGACUCUUCGGAAGGCCAAGGGCCAAGCCAGGGUCCAGGCCCUGAAGGAGCUCCACCACUGGUACCGCACCCUCCACAAGAAAGACGGUGGCGGGAGUCGGCGGCGUUGGCUUGGUCUCUUCUCUUCUGGGCCCAUUCACUUCUCAUGCUGUUGGCACUGAAGCAAUUGGUUCCUUGUUAAUCUUGACCUCUGUUCGGAUUCGAAGCUAAUUUGAUGCAGCCUGCAAGGUCUCGCUCGUCGUGACAUGCUGAUGAGGGAACGAUCGAGACGAGGAUCAUUGCACGAAAUUCAUCGAGCUGCUGAUGGAGGAGAAGGAUUUCAGAUCGGAGAAUGUUCAAGCUUCAGCCUUCUGGUGGAUUGCUGAGCUGGCAAAGGAUAAGAGGCACCGAAUGGGAUUUCAGCUGGGCUUGGGCUCUUGAGGAUGAUAUGCUCUCUCAGGCAGGUUGGAUCUUGAUUGUGAGUGUCGGGGCCGUCUCGCAGCUUGUUGAGCUCUUGCCGCAUCUUGAAUCCAGAGUCUCUGGAAGCUGCAUUGCAGAUUUUAGAUGAUUUUCAGUGAUCCAGAAGGAAGAAGUCUGAAGGAUUGCCAGCAGACUAUACCCAAUGCAGUGAGGAUACGGUGAGGGUUUCGGAGGCUUGUACUCGGCAUGCAUUGUCUAUUUUGUGGGCGAUCUGCACUUUGCACCUGAAGAUGUGCUUCCACUUGCAGUGGAAAUGGGUUUGGCUGCAAGGCUGCUGCUUAUAAUUCAGAGCGUUGUGAUCGAUGGUAAACAGCGGUCGGCCGAUCUGAAGAUCUGCAGUGUCAAUUUUCAGCAAGUAUUUAUUUCCAAGUGCAGCUUACGAGGACAAUACAGUAACCAUUGGAUGAUUACUAUUGGAGAUUGUUGCUCUAAUUAUCAUAUCCAUUUGACUAGGACCAGAGAGUCUAAGAAUUUGGGGAGCCCUUGGAGUAGAUCAUCACUAUUCAGAGAGAAUGAAGCUUUAAGAUAUUGGCAAGGGUGAAGAUGUUGUGCAGCGAGCAAUGAGAUAUAGACUAAAACCUGCUGCCUUGUGCAUACCACUUUCGAUACUUGAAAUCUCUCUUCUAGUGAUUUUCUUUGCCAAGAAGUAUCCAGAUGGUGAUUUUCUUGGGCGAAACUCAGCUGUGGAUUUAAUGCAUUGUGCCAUGCGCAAAAAUUAUCCUCAAUAAGAAGAGAUUGUGUAUGAUGGCUACCUUAGAUGCCACCUCCUGCUCUAUAGAAGUGACAUGAAGCAUAUCUCCCCUUGAAGCUAACUCACCGAGUCAUUCUUGUGCCGUUCAGUUGGGGUCAAAAUGUUGGAUGACAAGGAGAAGUAGGUUAUUUAGUAGGUUAUUUGUGAAUAAUCUGGAUGACAAGGUGAAGUAUUAAUAUAUUUCUCUUCAAAAAUUUUCCUUUGAACUGUACUAGGUUGCUACUGGAUAGCUUCUUCUUGAAGAUAAGUUACUCUGUUAGGUUUUCUUCUGCAGUAGUAUUCGACAUGAAUUCAAGAUUAGCCCUGUAUUGGAAUUUGAAUUGGAAAAUAAAAAGGAGAAGCAGUAGUACUCAUAUGGUGGAAGGUAAUGAAUUGAUAA